rnacentral:rRNA from 1 species
CCUACGGGAGGCAGCAGUGGGGGAUAUUGCACAAUGGGGGGAACCCUGAUGCAGCGACGCCGCGUGGGUGAAGGCGCGUUUCGGCGCGUAAAGCCCUAUCGGCAGGGAAGACGAUGACGGUACCUGCCCAAGAAGCCCCGGCUAACUACGUGCCAGCAGCCGCGGUAAUACGUAGGGGGCAAGCGUUAUCCGGAUUUAAUGGGUGUAAAGGGGGCGCAGGCGGCAAGGCAAGCAAGGAGUGAAAGCCCGGGGCCCAACACCCGGACUGCUCUUGGAACUGGAUGGCUGGAGUACAGGAGGGGCAGGCGGAAUUCCUAGUGUAGCGGUGAAAUGCGUAGAUAUUAGGAAGAACACCGGUGGCGAAGGCGGCCUGCUGGACUGUGACUGACGUUGAGGCCCGAAGGCGUGGGGAGCGAACAGGAUUAGAUACCCCAGUAGUC